CCCAUGAGCUUCCUCCCUUUCCCAAAAUUAAACCUACCUCUUCACUCUGAAUUUCUGUCUUAAAUCACUUCCUCAUCAUUAUUUUCACCAUUUUCACUUCACGGUUCUUACAGCACUGACUUAUUUUGCUGUCUGUCAUGCCCAGGUGCAAGAGCUGCUCUAUUGUACUGAUGAAAUGCCACUGGUGGUAGCCUGCCAAUGAAACAGAAUAGAGUGGGCCUUUAAAAUAAUUCCUGGGACACUUCCAGGGAUGAAAUGGAGCACUGUGAGCUGAUAAAGUGAAACGCGUUUUUAAGGACUCUCUAUUUUGAAAAGCCUUGAAAAGAAGACAUCUCUUUCUCUGACACAAAGCUGAUAAAAAUAGACCAGACAUAUUCCUUCCCAGCGCAAUCAUAAAGCAACAUUUAAAGCCCUUUGUUUGUUAUUCACAUGGGUGAAUAGAGUCCAGUACCCUUGUGCUGUGCCCAGCAAAGCCUCGGUGAAACACAAGACCAUCACAGACCCUUCUGGAAACUUUGCUGGACAUGUAUGUGGGCAUGGUGUUUGUGUGAGGUUUGGAUCCAUGCUCAAGAGCAAACCUUCUGCCUUUUAAGCCAUUAAACUACAGCUUAUGUUUCUGUAUGCUAAAACCUGAAAGCUGUUUUCCUUUAGUUGUUACUCAGACAGGCUGCCUCUCCUGGUGCUGGGAGCUUGCCUUAGUGAGAAACAUCUGAGAGAAGAUCAGCUUGGUACUUAGAUCACACACAGGGCUGAAGGACAGCAGGCUGAAGGCUACCAAUGUAUAGCUAUCUCACUGGAAAAAUAAAAUAACACCAUUUAAACA
rnacentral:lncRNA from 1 species